GAUGAACGCUGGCGGCGUGCCUAAUACAUGCAAGUCGAGCGAACGGACGAGAAGCUUGCUUCUCUGAUGUUAGCGGCGGACGGGUGAGUAACACGUGGAUAACCUACCUAUAAGACUGGGAUAACUUCGGGAAACCGUAGCUAAUACCGGAUAAUAUUUUGAACCGCAUGGUUCAAAAGUGAAAGACGGUCUUGCUGUCACUUAUAGAUGGAUCCGCGCUGCAUUAGCUAGUUGGUAAGGUAACGGCUUACCAAGGCAACGAUGCAUAGCCGACCUGAGAGGGCGAUCGGCCACACUGGAACUGAGACACGGUCCAGACUCCUACGGGAGGCAGCAGUAGGGAAUCUUACGCAAUGGGCGAAAGCCUGACGGAGCAACGCCGCGUGAGUGAUGAAGGUCUUCGGAUCGGAAAACUCUGUUAUUAGGGAAGAACAUAUGUGUAAGUAACUGUGCACAUCUUGACGGUACCUAAUCAGAAAGCCACGGCUAACUACGUG
rnacentral:rRNA from 1 species